rnacentral:misc_RNA from 1 species
GAUGAAGAACGUAGCGAAAUGCGAUAAGUAAUGUGAAUUGCAGAAUUCAGUGAAUCAUCGAAUCUUUGAACGCACCUUGCGCCCUUUGGCCAUUCCGAAGGGCAUGCCUGUUUGAGUAUCAUGAACACCUCAACUCUUUAUGGUUUUCCAUGAUGAGCUUGGACUCUGGGGGUUUUGCUGGCUCACAGUCGGCUCCUCUAAAAUGAAUCAGCUUACCAGUGUUUGGUGGGUAUCAUGGGUGUGAUAACUAUCUACGCUUGUGGUUUUUCCACCAGGUAACCUUCAGCAGUGGAGGUUCGCUGGAGCUCAUAGAUGUCUCUCCUCGGUGAGGACAGCCUUUGAACGUUUGAUCUCAAAUCAGGUAGGACUACCCGCUGAACUUAAGCAUAUCAAUAAGCGGAGGA